CAUACUAGUUUGAACGCACCAGAUCUCGUCUGAAUUUGGGAGCUAGGCAGGGUCAAACCUGAUUAAUACUUGGAUGGGAUACUAUAAGUUUAUAGAAGUAAUCUCCUUGUAUGAGGCCCAGGAA
rnacentral:rRNA from 1 species